rnacentral:lncRNA from 1 species
GAAAUAGAACUACGCUGACCUUCCUUUUCAGCAUAAUAAUUAUACAUUUCACAUAAAAAAGAUUCUAUAUGCACGUGUGAUAAUUCUAUAUUCAAAAAAUCUGAUAUCCCCUUUACAGUAGUUUUUGUGCCAGUUAAAUUAAGUCGAGGGUCCAUUACUGAAGCUAAAAGAAAUAAAGAAGGCAACUCUUCCCAGUAUUUACAAAAUUUUAACUCCAUAGAGCGGACUACAUCAGCAAAAAGUGGCAAAUUCCUAUAUUUAUGAAAUGCUUGUGAAAUGUAGAAAAAAUGUUGUAAAACAAGAGAAGAUGUAGGGUAAUAAACACCGCU